rnacentral:misc_RNA from 1 species
GAUGAAGAACGUAGCGAAAUGCGAUAAGUAAUGUGAAUUGCAGAAUUCAGUGAAUCAUCGAAUCUUUGAACGCACCUUGCGCCCUUUGGCUAUUCCAGAGGGCAUGCCUGUUUGAGUAUCAUGAACACCUCAACUCUCAUGGUUCUGCCAUGAUGAGCUUGGACUUUGGUGGUCUUGCUGGCCCCUGUGGUCAGCUCCUCUCAAAUGGAUCAGCUUGCCAGUGUUUGGUGGCAUCACAGGUGUGAUAACUAUCUACGCUUGUGGUUUUCCACCAGGUAACCUUCAGUGAUGGAGGUUCGCUGGAGCUCAUAAACGUCUCUCCUCAGCGAGGACAGCUUCUUGAACGUUUGAUCUCAAAUCAGGUAGGGCUACCCGCUGAACUUAAGCAUAUCAAUAAGCGGAGGA